UACGGGGGGGGCAAGCGUUGUUCGGAAUUACUGGGCGUAAAGGGGUUGUAGGCGGCCAACUAAGUCCGACGUGAAAUCCCCCGGCUUAACCUGGGAACUGCGUCUGAUACUGGGGGGCUUGAGUAUGGGAGAGGGAUGUAGAAUUCCAGGUGUAGCGGUGAAAUGCGUAGAUAUCAGGAGGAACACCGAUGGCGAAGGCAGGUCUCUGGGCCACUACUGACGCUGAGAAGCGAAAGCAUGGGGAGCGAACAGG
rnacentral:rRNA from 1 species